rnacentral:rRNA from 1 species
CAAAAGCUUGGUCCUGACUUUACCGUCAGCUUUAACCUGAUUUACACAUGCAAGUAUCCGCACCCCUGUGAGAAUGCCCUCAUUCCCCCGCCCGGGGACGAGGAGCUGGCAUCAGGCACGCUCAAGCUGCCCAAGACGCCUUGCUUUGCCACACCCCCAAGGGAACUCAGCAGUGAUAAACAUUAGGCAUAUAAGUGCAAACUUGACCUAGUCAAGGGUAAUAGAGCCGGUUAAACUCGUGCCACCACCGCGGUAUACCAAAAGCUCUAGUUGACGAACUACGCGUAAAGCGUGGUCACGAGAGCAAUCAUACUAAAGCCAAACGCUCCAGCUGUCAUACGCAUCCGAGGUCGAACCCAAUACCAAAGUGCUUUUACCGCCACCU